AAAUAGGCAAAAUAUGGGUUUCCGUGCCAACGUUUGACUGUCCGUCUUAUAUGAAACUUUUUUUAUAAUUAGUAUUUUCAUUGUUGUUAGAUGAUAAAUGAUUAAUACUUUAUGUGUGACUUAUCUUUUUAAUUUUUUUCAUAAUUUUUUUAAAUAAGACGGACGGUCAAACGUUAGACACGGAAACCAGGGUUUGUCUUUUU
rfam:Oryza sativa Japonica Group DNA, chromosome 10, cultivar: Nipponbare, complete sequence.